AUUGAACGCUGGCGACAUGCUUUACACAUGCAAGUCGGACGAGUGGCGAACGGGUGAGUAACAUAUCGGAACGUACCGAAUAAUGGGGGAUAACUGAUCGAAAGCUUAGCUAAUACCGCAUAUUAUUCGAGCGGCCGAUAUUUGAUUAGCUGGUUGGUGGGGUAAAGGCCUACCAAGGCGACGAUCAGUAGCGGGUCUGAGAGGAUGAGCGGCCACACUGGGACUGAGACACGGCCCAGACUCCUACGGGAGGCAGCAGUGGGGAAUUUUGGGCAAUGGGCGCAAGCCUGAUCCAGCCAUGCCGCGUGUCUGAAGAAGGCCUUCGGGUUGUAAAGGACUUUUGUCAGGGAAGCGGUAUCUGAAGAAUAAGCAACGGCUAACUACGUGCCAGCAGCCGCGGUAAUAC
rnacentral:rRNA from 1 species